rnacentral:rRNA from 1 species
UACGUAGGGUGCAAGCGUUGUCCGGAAUUAUUGGGCGUAAAGAGCUCGUAGGCGGUCUGUCACGUCGGCUGUGAAAUCCCGAGGCUCAACCUCGGGUCUGCAGUCGAUACGGGCAAACUAGAGUACUGCAGGGGAGACUGGAAUUCCUGGUGUAGCGGUGAAAUGCGCAGAUAUCAGGAGGAACACCAGCGGCGAAGGCGGCAUCCUGGACUGGUCCUGACACUCAUGAGCGAAAGCGUGGGGAGCGAUCCGG